CACACACAUGUAAGAGGAGAUUUUUUCUUUUUUAAGUUUGACUAACUUAGCCAAAUCAAAUUCGAAGAGUUUUUGCGCGUUGUCAAUAUUAUUCUUUAUUAAAAUUCAAAAAGGGAAUUUUAUACAAGUGAGGGGGAAAAAAAAAUAAAAGUAACAAUCCAUUUAGUGACGUUGAGCCUAUUGGUCCUAUUUGCAUACAUUUAAAGAUUUAGGAGACUUAUUUUCUUAAAAAAAUAUUUUAUAAAAUAAGGGUCCCUAGAGAAAUUUUUUUACUUUUUUAAUUAAAAGGUUGAGAUUUAAGUUUUUUUUUUUUUUUGGUUUUUUUUUUUGAUAGUUGGUGGCAAGAAAUUCACACACAUUCACUUUACUUUGUCAGAGACUUAAAUUAUCACCAUUCAUUUUGAAAGGUAGAGAAGGUAUUAUUAGGCCACAAAACUCUUGGUUGUUGAGAUUUAAGUUUACACAAGUAAAAAAAAACUGGUGUGUCUGUUUCUUGAAAAAAAAAAAAAAACUUUGAGUCAAUAAUGAUUUUGUGCAAUUAAUUUUUAGUUCAUGGAGGUUUUGUGCAAUUAAUUUUUUGGUUUUAGUCCAAUAAUGAUUUCUCAUAUAAAUGUAAUUUGAGGGUCUAAAUAGUAAAUGCAGCCUUGGAAGUUUUCCUUAUAUUAAAAUUAAAUCUUCAUACUGUAAUGAGCACAAAGAUAGCUAGCUACAAACCUCUUGUGAUCAAUGGCGACGAAGGCAAGAAAAGCCCAGGUUCGAAUCAGAGCGUCGGAAAGUUGUAAAGAUAGCACAAGUGUGGUCUUUGGGUAAUCGAUUUGGCAAAAAGAGUACACCUGAAAGAAACUGUUUUGAAUAUAUUGAUUGCAAGUUUAAGGGGAAGAUAGUUGUUUUCUGGAACAACUUCCAUCUGGGUUGCUUCCGAUCACCGAGCUAUUGUGAAGGAAAGCAGGUGGCAUAGAAAAGGAACUACUAAAUGCUAAAGCAAACUGUAGUGGUGCUUAAAGAAAAGCAAAAGCAAAUACAGAAAGCUUAAGGGUAAGUGACCAUGCCUAUAAAGACACUUUUGAUCUUCAUGCACCAUCUUUAUUCUCUCCUUUAAUCAAAUUUCCAAAUGUCAAAACUGCUUUCUUCACCAAAACUGAACUUUCUGAGAUGCUUCUUUAGAAAUGCAAUUUCCUCUAGGAUGGCAAAUGGAUGAGGUCAGAAAUCUGUGUAUGUUUUGCCGCACUUAAAACUAGGGCAUAUAUAUGAGCCCCAAGUUUGUAAACAUACAUGAACAAUCUUCUACACACAAGUCUACAUUAGUGAAGUAGAAGAUUGUUUGCGCUCCUUUAUAUCCAAAAUUAAGUUGAGUUCAGAUCAAAGCGACAUGAUUUGAGAUCUAAACGAGUCACGCUCAAACUGUUCAUCACUGACCUUUUUUUUGAGUGAAAUAUUGUUUGUUUCUUUUUGAAAUCUUGAAAAAAAAAAUAUGGAUCCCAUUUACUUUCUCUGAUGUUUUGAAAAAAGUAUUUUCUUUUGUAUAUGUAGAGCAUCUUUACUAUGGAUACUGUGAGUAAUGAUGAAAUGUGCCAUGAAUUAGAAAUGUCGGCUAUUGUUAAUUUUUUCAAUUAGGUGGUUUUUGUAAAAAAAUGAUUGAUUUUAGUCGGCCAUACCAGAAGUAUUCUCUCUAUUACAAAUUCUCAGUUAGUAGGAGUCAGAAUGGAGCCAAUGAACUCAUGGCAUAAGAUGAAGGAUGUGUGAGCUUCUUGCCGAGUAAGGGCAAAUCCAGUGCACAAGGUCAUUGCGGGGUCUGGAAAAGAUGCAGUCUUAGCAUUGCAUGCGAGUUGCACCAAAGCUUCUUGUAAAAUAAAAAUAAAAAUAAAAAAUUCAUUGCCCAAGGUUUAACCGACCAAAAUUAGAUUCUCAUAGUUAAACAUGUUGACAUGAUUGCUUUGUGGCAACCAUCAACAACUAUAUUAUACAAUAUCAACAUUGAUUUGUGAUC